rnacentral:rRNA from 1 species
UAGAGUUUGAUCCUGGCUCAGAUUGAACGCUGGCGGCAUGCUUUACACAUGCAAGUCGAACGGCAGCGCGGGCUUCGGCCUGGCGGCGAGUGGCGAACGGGUGAGUAAUAUAUCGGAACGUACCCAAGAGUGGGGGAUAACGUAGCGAAAGUUACGCUAAUACCGCAUACGAUCUAAGGAUGAAAGCAGGGGACCGCAAGGCCUUGUGCUCCUGGAGCGGCCGAUAUCUGAUUAGCUAGUUGGUGAGGUAAAGGCUCACCAAGGCAACGAUCAGUAGCUGGUCUGAGAGGACGACCAGCCACACUGGAACUGAGACACGGUCCAGACUCCUACGGGAGGCAGCAGUGGGGAAUUUUGGACAAUGGGGGCAACCCUGAUCCAGCAAUGCCGCGUGAGUGAAGAAGGCCUUCGGGUUGUAAAGCUCUUUUGUCAGGGAAGAAAAGGGAGUGGCUAAUAUCCAUUCCUGCUGACGGUACCUGAAGAAUAAGCACCGGCUAACUACGUGCCAGCAGCCGCGGUAAUACGUAGGGUGCAAGCGUUAAUCGGAAUUACUGGGCGUAAAGCGUGCGCAGGCGGUUUCGUAAGUCUGUCGUGAAAUCCCCGGGCUUAACCUGGGAAUGGCGAUGGAGACUGCGAGGCUAGAGUUUGGCAGAGGGGGGUAGAAUUCCACGUGUAGCAGUGAAAUGCGUAGAGAUGUGGAGGAACACCGAUGGCGAAGGCAGCCCCCUGGGUCAAAACUGACGCUCAUGCACGAAAGC